GUAACACGUAGUCAACAUGCCCAGGGGACGUGGAUAACCUCGGGAAACUGAGGAUAAACCGCGAUAGGUCACUACUUCUGGAAUGGGUAAUGACUCAAACCUAUAUGGCCCCUGGAUUGGACUGCGGCCGAUCAGGCUGUUGGUGAGGUAAUGGCCCACCAAACCUGUAACCGGUACGGGCUCUGAGAGGAGGAGCCCGGAGAUGGGCACUGAGACAAGGGCCCAGGCCCUAUGGGGCGCAGCAGGCGCGAAACCUCUGCAAUAGGCGAAAGCCUGACAGGGUUACUCUGAGUGAUCUCCGUCAAGGAGAUCUUUUGGCACCUCUAAAAAUGGUGCAGAAUAAGGGGUGGGCAAGUCUGGUGUCAGCCGCCGCGGUAAUACCAGCACCCCGAGUGGUCGGGACGUUUAUUGGGCCUAAAGCAUCCGUAGCCGGUUCUACAAGUCUUCCGUUAAAUCCAACUGCUUAACAGAUGGGCUGCGGAAGAUACUAUGGAGCU
rnacentral:rRNA from 1 species